GUAACUAAACUAAAAGAAUUUUCAUCACAAACAUUUAGUUAUUUAACAUGGACUGUUUCCUGAACUUUUAAGUCAGUUUCACACCAGCAGUCAACUUCACCCCAUUGGAUGGUACUGUAGUAGGGCUACAUAUGGAGGAUAUGAACAAUGCCUACCCACUUUUGUCCUCUUGAUGAAGAGUCAUCAUCCUUGACUUCGUAUGUGAUGUCCAACAAGGGACAAAGUAUAUGAUACAGACCGAAGCUAAGUAUCAGUAACUUUUCUCAUAGUCCUCAUUUCCCCACACGCAUAACAAUCCAUAACAAGUGUCCCAGGCUGUAUCUCAUUGACCAGUGUUUAGUGCAAUAGCGCACUUUGUCUUUCUUCCGCUCAUUCAGGCUUUGUGUGCAAGCUAACUUUGAUCCUGGUGAUAAGGUGAUUCACAUAGUCAUCCUGAUUAUCAUUUCAUUUAAAUCGGAAAAGCACAUCCAUCCUCAUCUCAGGCUUGUGACCAUGGAGCAGAAACAGCCACUGAAGCACAUAGUGCCCUGCUUUGCAGUGCAAUAUUCUACUGUCACAACAGACAAUAUUGUAUCCCAGUCUCUCUCUCCAAGAUGGCCGCCGAGUGAGAUCACAGUUCAACUUGGUUGAAGGCAUCAUGUGCCAAGAAGAGAGAACUUUACUCAAAGACUAAAGCAAAAAUAAUCUACAAAAUAUUAGACAUGGUUCUCAGUGAGGUGAUAUAUGAUACGUGAUGUGACUCAUGAUAUGAUGCAGAAGCAACCAUGAAUUGGUGGGCUGCAUAGAAAAAGAGUUGUAACAACUUAACUGGUUCACACAGGGACAACCGGAAUACAACACCAACACAUAUUUCUAUCAUGUCGUCCAGCACAGCAGGGACUUAGUGACAUCAUUAUGAAACAGAGUGUGGGAGGAAAUGCAAGGGUAAUUGUAUGGGCCUCAGCUUACCUUCCAUCCCUGGAAGUGACAAGACCAGUAGACAGCUGCUAACAGAAGAAUGAACAACUGUUGGUUAGUUGUGAUAACAAUGCCCACAACCUGGUGUGGGGAAGCAGCAGCAAA